UACAGAGGUGGCAAGCGUUGUUCGGAAUUACUGGGCGUAAAGGGCGCGUAGGCGGUGUGUCAAGUCAGGCGUGAAAGCCCCGGGCUCAACCUGGGAACCGCGCUUGAGACUGGCACGCUCGAGUUCGGGAGAGGAUGGUGGAAUUCCCAGUGUAGAGGUGAAAUUCGUAGAUAUUGGGAAGAACACCGAUGGCGAAGGCAGCCAUCUGGACCGACACUGACGCUGAGGCGCGAAAGCGUGGGGAGCGAACAGG
rnacentral:rRNA from 1 species